AUCUGUAGCCAGCUGCAGCACGAACUCCAGGACGCAGUGUGUGUAUGAUAUGUAGGACCAUAUAUUAAUAGUAUAGUAAGCAACUGUGGUAUAAAUUGGCUAUUAUAUUGGCUAUAGAUAAAUUGGAGCUAGUAGUGGGCUAUACUAUUAAAUUUGCUCUAAUAGUAUAUCCCGAUACUAACUCCAAAUCAUCUAUAGCCAAUGUAAUAGCCAAUUCAUACAAUAGUUGCUUACUAUACUAUUAUACCUGGUCUCAUAUGUCAUAUACACAUUACGUUUUGGAGUCCGUGGUGCAGCUGGCUAUAGAUAU
rnacentral:misc_RNA from 1 species